rnacentral:lncRNA from 1 species
AUACGUAAUAUGCCUCCUCCAAUUUUGUUAUGGACGAAUGAACAUCGUCUGAUUAAAAGAGGUAGUCAAACCUCCUCUUGUNGCCUCCUCCAAUUUUGUUAUGGACGAAUGAACAUCGUCUGAUCAAAAAAGGUAGUCAAACCUCCUCUUACUGCAAAUCUGUUUUCCCAUUCCAUUGAUUAAGAAGAUGUUAUUCUCGGUGGCUCCAUCUCCAAUCGAAGCUAGCUUCAACAUCGAGGCAAUUUUGGAGUCACAAGAAGCCGAUGUAUGUUUCUGCAUCAUUGUUACAGUUCCUUCGAUGAUCGGUUCUCUAAAGCUUUUCCAAAUCGAGCAAAUUUCUUAUGCCCUUAUUUAUCCGGUAACAACUCUUCAAUUCUCAUUAAUUACGGAUCGUUAACUUGUGAUUCAAAUUAUCUAUUUCUAUUGUUCGCUGAAUUGGAUGGUCCAGUAAGGGAAAACCUAACGUGUUCAAGAAGAACGAGCUAUGCACAUAAGGUGCUCGACUAAAUUCCUAAAAGAAAGACCAGCUUGCUUUCUUAGUGAACUGUUGGUGGAAUUAAAAAUAUUCCAAUUUGCACACCAACUAUUUGUUAAAAUGUCUCAGUGAACUUCAGUUACUUAUUCCAAAAAAAUUUCUUUCUUGCUUAAUGAGUCACUUUCAGUUAGAAGGAAGCAUAGAAAAAGAUGUUAGUUCGUAUGGUUCCAGCUCUUGUAUCAGGGCCUUAUAAUGUAAGUAACAUUCUUUAUUCAUGUGUUCAAGUUGAUGAGUUUCAAUUUCUUUUAUGUGGAUGCUCUUCUUUCUUACAA